rnacentral:lncRNA from 1 species
UGUUGCUAUUCUUUCCAUAUCACUGUAACCAGAUACACAAAUAUCAAGGCACAGCUUUCAAGGCAUUGUGGAGGUCCCCUAGACCUCCUAUCUCUGCAAGAGAAGCAGGUGCCUGAAGCUCUGGACCUUCCUGCUUGUCUUCUCAAAGCCGAAUUUCCAGCUUUGUGAGGAGGGUGGGUGACUCAUGUCCAGCACAGAGACCACGUGGGCAGAUGCUUUCUUCAGAAGAAAAGAAUUUGGAGAAUAUUGAAGAGGAAGAGGGGAAAAGUGACUGCAGGAGAAACUGAGAGCUGGAUUCUUAUCUUAUGGAGCACCCACAUCUGUUUCUCUGUUGGACGUAGCAGGGAGGAACUGACCGAAGAUGAUAUAUAUUACUAG